rnacentral:tRNA from 1 species
GCCCGGGUGGUGGAAUUGGUAGACACGCAGGACUUAAAAUCCUGUGACCACUGCGGUCGUGCGGGUUCAAGUCCCGCCCCGGGUA